GUCGGAGGACACUCUGCUGUUCGACCGGGUAUCUCAGGUCAGCUAUCUUUCGGAUGCCCUUCUAGAUGAGGGCUACGACACAGCCAGACGAUCCAGAGGGCGCGACCAACAACUGCUCCGGGAGGCCACCAAUGCCAUCCCAAGAUCAUCAAGCCGGGACACAUCCUCUUCCACAUCGCCUGCGAGGCCAGCUCCUACAAUCUCGUCCAGGCGCUUUGGCCGCUCAAAUCUGCCCAGAGCAAGCGAGUGAGCUUUGAGGAUGACUCCAGCCCCACUGGCAGGACAACUGCUCUCUCUACUUCGGAUGUAAUGGCUAGCCCUCCUCCUCGACCUUCUGUCAUACGGCAUCGCUUUGGUGCUCGUGCACCUGUCCUUCAGUCUUUUCUGGACGAUGAGCCCAGUCUGUCCAGAACCCUGGAGCACUCAGACUUCCCUUAUAGAGGUCAGCGGCACACCUCACCACCUUCCAAGAUCUUAGCAGGCUACAGACCCUCCUCCCCCUUACGACAUACCUUAGCUCCUGCACCUGUCAGCACGCUGAAAGAAAGCAAAUACCUUGGACGUCCACGAGCAUCUCUGCAUCCCCGUCCGUCGCCAUACGCUUCGACUGACUUAAAUUUCGACAAAUCAGAGCUGCCCCGUUACGACCUCGUGUACGUAGAUCACGAGCCGGGGGCUAAACCAUUUCGCCGACGUCCGAGGGUGUUGGGAUCCUCGCGACGCCCAGCUGGGAAUUACUAUGAGCGUCUUCUGCGCAAGCGUGGCAAACGUCGAGGAAAAUUCGGACCUUACUACGAUGUGGAAUCAAUCGAAGGCAGCGAUCUCACUGACGUCCUGAGCGACACAGGCUCCCUGUCUGACUUGGAUGCUUCGUAUGGUACGUAUGACAGUAGUGUUACCCCAUCCUACACUUUUCAAGACUACCCUCUUUCGUCGUCCCCAUCUUCCGCAUACUACGUUGACCAGGAUACGGAAUACGUUCCCUAUGGACCCUCUCGCCAUCUUGAGACCACUGGACUUUUAGAAGUGUCGUCAUACAAUGGCAAUGAUGACGAGAAUGAAGAGUGUUCCGACACGGCGUCUCUCCCUUCUCCGAUGAACGACCUUUCAUUGUCCACGUAUCUGCCCAACAGUGUUGUUUCGUCUGCCCUCUCCCGAUCACCUUACCGUGCGGUUGUCCCCUACACCUCGUCUUUUUUAGAUAACUGUCUCGACGUGAUGCCAUCAUCGUCCCCGAGCCAAAAGCUGCUCGAUUCUCUUGUGCAAACGGCUGUGGCACGCGCUCGGUCGGCCGUCGACGCCUUAGCUUUGCCUGAUUACCACGGCGCUAGCCUUGUGCUCAGCGUGGAAGGAGCGGGAAAGAUGGCUGAUGGGAAGAUUGUAGAUUUUACCUACACACCGCCACCCAUACCGCUUUUUGGCAGAGCACCCAGGCUUGACGACCGGAUCAUGGGACUGUCGCUUAAGCGCAAGGAUGUGCUACGACCUGUUGAUGACUUCCUUGCUGGCUACGUCAAGCGCAUGGAGUCGCUUCGUUCUCAACUCUACGGAAGGCAGGACAACGAUAAGGAUAAGGAUAAGCACCCGCGCUAUGGCCUGACUGCUGCUGAGACCCCUUCUCGCCAGUACUCGACUCCUUCUUACUCGACCUACAAGCCUUACACAUCUUCACACACCUACGUCCCCGUCAGGCAUCUGAGCUCGCAACGAACAGAGCACGUGCCCGUGACGAGCUAUCGCAGGGACCUGGAUGAUGGGCGCUCCCAUCGUAUGGAUGUUUUCCCCCUCAGCGUGAUUAAACCGCGCAUUGCGGAAUCGACUCCCAAAGCCAUCACGCUGCCAGGAGCUGUUACAAAGGACGGCUCACCGGUCCAACUGUCUGUACUCGAUAGGAUUAACAUCAAGGCUGCGAUUAUUGCCAGCAAGCUGGAGCCCGAUCCAAUCAAACGCAGGCGACCUCGCUCUCAGUUCGCCGCUGACAAGCUCCGGAACAUGCGCAAGGAGGCUCAGGAGAGUGUCUACACUGGAACUGCUUCUGCCGGGAUGACAGCAUCCACCCCACCUCUGCCAAGAUUGACGGAGAGGAAAGCUAUACGCACUGAGGAAGGCUUCUCCAAACCCAAGAAUAUUCUAUCUUGGCAGUAUCGGGUGGAGUCCCGAAUACCUCCCAACGACCUGCUGUACCAGCCCUCCUCCUUCAUUCGCAUUCGCGAGCAAGUGCGUAACGCUCAAGAAAGGAUGGACCGACAUCGCCAGCUUCUAGACAGAUACCUCCCUGAUAGCGAAGAUACCGGCGACAUUGCUGCCAAAGUUUUGCGCAAGACGAGCGAAUUGGAGAAACGGAACGCACUGGUGUAGAGCAACGCACUUCCCCGGUGUCGGAGCUGAGGAGACGUAUCAGGAAGACACUCAACAAGAGCCGAAUGUCUUACAGCUAGACCGCCAUGACACCGGGCGGCCGCCUGCUCCACUGGGAGGCGCAAGUAGGCGUCAGGAGACUGAAGCUGCUGAGGCCGAAUAGCGAGGUGAAUAUGGAUCUGAGGACUCCGACUUUUCUGUGAAGCCUCGGUCAUCUCUGUCACUUCUGCAGAGCUUAUCUAUAAAAAAAUCUCUUACUUGGUUAUAAAUAUUGACAUUUCUGCCCCUCUCUGCAUAACUUCACGAUGAGCUAUAGUUUAAUGUUCAUGCUCGUAAUUUAAAAUAAGCUUAGACGUGCAAUUGUGAAAAUUUACAUUCACCGUGCCGUUGCAAACAGGAGUGAUCUUCUAAAAUAAUUACAUGUAUGCGUUCAUAGCACUCUGAAAAAUAAUUUAUCGCAAGGUGCGUAAACAAAUCAAAAUGACAACUAGUAUGUCUAUAUAACGGUAAUAUAUAUGAUGUAUAAAACUGAUUAUAUUACACAAAACUUGCCAUUAAGGGGGCUUCCAACCGAUGUACAAUAUAUUCUACUUUCAUUUUGUAUUUCAUAAAUAUCGCCUCUAUUGUUCACGUGUUAGUGGCAGUGUCGCAUAAAAAGUUUUUAAGGAAAACGCCACUUUUGCCUCAUUAAUUGGCCUGCAACUUAGAUAGCUAUUGCUACAUUUCCAAGGUAACUUUAUUGUUUCACGGCCUGACUUUAUCAUUGGUGUGAUACUUGCAGUUUCGACUUGUAAAGAGACUUUUCUUGUACAGUUUUGUGCUUCAUGAUACAAAAUUGGUUAUGUUGUUUACGUUGGCUUUGGUGGAAAAGUGCAAUAAUAUUGCGGAUCUAUUGAGAAAAUGCAUUACUACUUCACAGCUUUCUGUAUGGAGCUGUUGAACAAUAACUGUAUUUCCGCAUUACAGUUUUUUUUUUUUUAAAUAAGAAAAGAAAUUUGCUUGUGAAGAAACUGUAUGCCUUCGUUGCUUUUUCUUAAUCGGCGAUCGCUUUGAAAGAAAACACAUCGGUUUGUUUCGCGAGAAUAAAAACUAGGUAUGAACAGGAAUCUUUCUGUGAAGGCCUUACUGCUUUUUCUUUUAAAGUCACAUUUAUGAUGAUUGAACAACAUCAUGUUUCUAAGCUAGUCUGAAGCGCCGCCGUGCAGUUUUGACAAAAGAUGAUUCAACAGAUUGCGAAUAAAUAUUUAUGUGUGUAAAUCAAAACCGAGUGAAAUAUUGAACAUUUGACCCUAUGAGUCAGUCACACGUGUGCAGUUAACAAGUAAUAUCCACGAUUGCCUCCCAAAUAUAAAAUUGCCUUUUCAUGGACCUCUCCUUAAAGGUAAUGUAAGUAGUUUCUUCGUACUGCCAUGUGAGCAAUAAGUCCACUCACUUACAUGAGAACAAUGCGAAUGUGUGUAUUUAGAUUUUCGGUCCUUUUUGGCAGAUUGAAUGUCAAUUCACGGUAUGGCGUUAAAUAAAUUUCUGUCUUUGA
rnacentral:misc_RNA from 1 species